rnacentral:rRNA from 1 species
UGGGGUUGUGUUGUGCGGUGCUGCCAUGCCGUGCCCUGGUGUCAUGUGUUAGCGGAAGUGGUUUGGAA